ensembl:lncRNA
UUUUUUUUUUUUGUCUUUUUUUGCUUUUUCUGGGGCCACUCCCAUGCGGCACAUGGAGGUGCCCAGGCUAGGAGUUGAAUCGGAGCUGUAGCCACCGGCCUAUGCCAGAGCCACAGCAACACGGGAUCCGAGCCGCAUCUGCAACCUACACCACAGCUCACGACAACGCCGGAUCCCUAACCGACUGAGCAAGGCCAGGGAUCGAACCUGCAACCUCAUGGUUCCUAGUCAGAUUUAACCACUGAGCCACGAUAGGAAUGCCAAGAACUGAUUUCUUCUUAAGACUUUACUUAAAAUAAUAUUAACCACACAACACAGCCAGAUUUUUGAUGUUAAUUUCUUCCCUUAUCUGCCCAAAAUACCAAUGAGGACUCACACCAGUCAUAAUUAAAUCAUCUAGACUCAAUCCUACCUGAACUUCACUAGCAAGUAAAUUAGGAUAAGAAAAGAUGUAUUUUAGGCAAUUUAGCAUCAUACUGGAGGCCAUUUGGUCCUAGAAUACAGAACCUCUUGAUCCUUUUCGCAACAGGAAAUCAACCAUCCACUGGCCAAAGAGAUAGUGGCUACCCACUCUUUCCAGGUAACGACAGAUCAGUCUGCCUAGAAACCCCCCUUACCGAUUCAAAGCUAGGUGUCUACUGUAUGCAGGCAGUUUUGCUACAGACCGUGUCUGCGAUAUAAUAAAAAAAUAUAUUUGGUAUUUUGUCCCAGUCUCCUGGCCCAGAGUCCCACAACCCUAGGAAUUUUCUAAGGAAUAAGAGUGCCUUUUGUUAUUCACAACUCCCUGGGAGUUUAUGCUACUUAGGUGGGGGGCCGGCAGAACCCAUAUACCUCCAGGAUGGGGGGGGGGGUCUCCACAAAAACCAAACUAGUGAUCAGAGGGUUACAACAUUCAGCCCCACCCCGCCCCAACUUCCAUGGAGGGAGAGGGGUCUGGAGAUUGAGUUCCAUUCCCAAAGGCCAAAGAUUUAGUCAGUCAUUCCUACACAGUGAAACUUCCAUCCUAGCUGGUAAACACAUCGAAGCGCUGGGAAGAAGGCAUGGAAGCCCUGCACGGCCUCUCUCUCCACACCUUGCCCUGGCAUCCCAUCUACUGGGCCCUCCCUGAGCUGCAUUUUGUAAUACAUUGGUAAACACAAGUAAAGUGUUUGCCUGGGUUCUGCGAGCCAUUCUAGCAAAUAAGUGAAUGCAGGGGGGUGUUAAGGGAGUCCUGUAAUUUGCGGUCAGCCAAGCAGGCAGCCCUUUUGUAGGUGGAUCUGAAGUCAGGGUAUCCAGGCGAGGCUUUAACUUGUGAGACCAAAUGCUGACUCUAGGAAGACAGUGUCGGAAUUGAAUUGGUGGACACCCAGCUGCUGUUUGAAAGUUGCAUGGGGUCAGACAACACCUCAGAGUGUCAAAAUCUGAACCACUGAAUCGUGAGGAAUAUUAAGAUUUCCUAAAGGCAAAAGAAGUUAGUUUCAAAAUGUAAAUCUUUCCUUAUUUCCAUUCAUACUUACAAUUAAUUAUGUUAUCCAAGUCUAUAAGCAAGCCUGUAGCUUGUGCUACCUAAAGCAAAAGUGAAGCUUUAUUUCAACGAUGACUUGCCCAAUUCUAAAACAUCAUUAACAGGUCAGCAAUAAUUAAGAACUGCAGAGGAGGGACAAAACCCCCCACACUAUAUAAUUUCUAACUAGUCAUCAUAGCACACUGCAUUUAUUACACAAUAACCCCUUGCCUCCUCAAGAACACAGUCAACAUUUGAACGUAAGCAUUCUCACAUGCACAACCUACAUAGUCGUCUGGAUGACUUCUGACCACUGAAAUGAGAUUUAGCACUCCAGGGACUUCUCAUAACCUUUUCAUAACAGCACCUGGCAGGUCAGAAACUCGGAUAGUCCUUGAAUAAAUGAAUAAUCCAAGCUCAAGUUUUUGAUUGAACACUUUCAGUACAAAAUCAUUUCACUCAGACAUCUCAAAUGGGGUUUUAUCUGUACUUCCUGAAAGAUCUAAUUUGUUGCUUCUUUUGUUCUCACUGAUUGAAAGAUGUAUAACUAGGAAUUAAGUAGGUUCUCUGAAAAAGUUAUCCAGAAGCUUCAAAGAAAUGCUCCUGAUAGAACUUCAUGACACAUGGAUAAGUGGGCAAAUCUCAAAGAUUUGUUUGUUUGUUUUUUGGAUGUGCCCGCUGCAUGCAAAAAGUUCCAGGGCUGGGGUCAAACCCAAGACAGAGCAGUGACAACACUCAGUCCUUAACCCUAGGCCACCAGGGAACUCCCAUCAAAGCAUUUUUAACUGCCUUGAGUUUCGAAACUUGUGAUCAUUUUUUAUAACCCAACAAACCUUUUCCAUUUUACUGCUGCAUUACCCAUAUAUCUUUUUAAAGAAAUUUUAAGUAAUAAUUCACAACCCAAAUUUAAAUUCAAAUCUGUUUUACCACCAAAGCAAGCAACAGAGGUGGAGGUGGAAAAUGAAUAAGUAUCUUCUACACAAAGCAAACAUUAUAUAACAUACUCUCCAACAUUUAAAUAGCUUCUUUAUACCCUACAAAAUAAUAUUUCCAAAAAAAAAAGCGACUAACACUUCCAUUUCUUUUUUCUUCUUUUUGUCUUUUUGCGAUUUCUAGGGCUGCUCCGGCAGCAUAUGGAGGUUCCCAGGCUAGGGGUCCAAUCGGAGCUGUAGCCGCCUGCCUACGCCAGAGCCACGGCAAUGCGAGAUCCGAGCCGUGUCUGCUCACAGCAAGGCCGGAUGCUUAACCCCCUGAGCAAGGCCAGGGAUGGAACCUGCAACCUCAUGUGGGUUAAGGAUCAGCGUUGCCACGAGCUGUGGUGUAGGUCGCAGAUGUGGCUCAGAUCCUGUAGGCCGGCGGCUGCAGCUCCAGUUCGACCCCUAGCCUGGGAACCUCCAGAUGCUGUGGGAGUGGCCCUAGAAAAGGCAAAAAGACCAAAAAAAAAAGAAAAAAAAGAAAAAAGAAAAAUCACUUAAAAAAGAAAAAAAGGGUAUGUUUACUAGUCUUUUCUAUCCAGCUAUCCAAACUCUUAGGAUUUUAAGAAGAUAAAGGAGUUCCCGUCAUGGAGCAGCAGCAAUGAACCCAGCUAGGAACCAUGAGGUUGCAGGUUUGAUCCCUGGCCUCACUAUGUGUGUUAAGGAUCUGGCGUUACCGUGAGCUCUGGCCGGCUGUAACUCCAAUUAGACCUCUAGCCUGGGAACUUCCAUAUGCCGCGGGUUCGGCCCUAAAAAGACAAAAAAAAAAAAAAAAGACAAAGAUAGUACCUAUCAUCCACAAAACCUAAAAAAUGGCUAAUGCGGCCACUCUGAUACGAAAGUACCUUGGGGGCAUAAAAGUGACCCACUGCUUACUGCCUGAUGGCAACGUGGGAGGAAGAACGGGGGCCAACUGGAGGCAGUGCCCUAGCACUCAUCUCUCUCCUGCUGAGGUUCCAUGCGUGCCCCCCU